AUGUUUGCGUCCCCAGCAGGUUCAUCCCAGAACUCACCGCUGCGAGUCCCGCUGAACCAGACAAUGAGAAGCAAGUCCAGGAAGCCAAGACUGGUCUUGGGGCCACCCAUCUCUCCCUUUGCCACCUGGAUCUCGAUUUUGCAGGAGUGGAGGAUGCCAGGUCAGAGGAGCCUAUCCUUUCUGGGGAGGCAGACACUGCACUUCUGGGGCCGCCGGAGUUGCUCUGCCCACACGCCCCAGGCAAGGCCAGUGCAGUCAGUAACCUGUGCCUUCCCCAGACUGCUAGCUGGAAGCCAGGGUGUUGCCACUUCCUCCUCUUCCCACUUGUUGGAGGCGUUUUGUGGGCUGAUAGCCAGAAUCUUCCUAGUUAGAUCAUUUUGUCAUUUUGGCCUGGACGUGAGUCUGAGUGAACUCCGGGAGUUGGUGAUGGACAGGGAGGCCUGGUGUGCUGCCAUUCAUGGGGUCGCAAAGAGUCGGACAUGACUGAGCGACUGAACUGAGCUGAAUUAAUAGAAAUUGAUCAGUGGUCAGGGAAGAAUUUCUGGCAAGAAGGUUAUGGAGGGGCGAGCUCAGGGCUUCCUGCUUCCCCAUCUUGAGCUUGCCUUGGGUGAUCACUGACCUUUUCCAUUGUAUUGAGUUUCUUUAGGGUUUUCCAUACCAUCUUAUGAAAACCUGAAGGAACUUUUCAUCAUCUCACUUAUUGUUUCCGGUGCCAGUUCAGGUGGCAGACUUAAUUGAUAAAUUUUGUCUAUGUUCUGACCGUUCCACUGAUCUGCCCUUCUCUCAUCUCUCUCCCUCUCCUUGGGCUUCCUGAGUCCCAGAGACAUAGCAGUAUUGAAAUUAGGCCAGUUCAUCACUGCAAGUUUGCUUCAGUCCCAUUUGUUUAUUUCUCCUUCACAAUUUCAAUGCCAGUGCAUUUUGAAGAGGGAUUCUGUGUAAUUCUACAGGUUGUUUGCCCCUGAUUUUUUUUUUUUUGUAUAAUUGUCCAACCUUUGAAAAUUACAUAAGUUAUAAUGAUCCAGUAUUAUUUGUCAUUCAAAAAACAAAACAAAACAAAAAACUUUCCCUAGCUCCCAGCAACCAUCCAAGGGAAAUUAAAGUUCCUGAAAGAAGGCCAAUUCAAUAUAGCUUCUACUCUGGUAGAAACAGAAAACAGAAAGAUGAGGAAAAGCAAUAAAGCAAUUGGUCCUCAUCAAACUUAUAUACUUUUGCACAGCAAAGGAAACCAUGCACAAAACAAAAAAGGCAAACUGCAGACUGGGAGAAAAGAUUUUCAAAUGAUGCAGCUCAGAAGGGCUUAAUUCCCAAAAUACAUGACCAGCUCUUACAACUCAAUAAUAAAAACAGGGAGCCCAAUCAAAGAAUGGGCAGAAGAUCUAAAUAGACAUUUCUCCAAAGAAGGCAUACACAUGGACAAUAGGCAUGUGAAAAGAUGCUCAAUAUCAAUAUUUAUUAUUUUUAAUUAGUUAAACAUUUUUAUUGUAUAUUGAAAUAUAUAGUUGAUUUAAAAUGUGUGUUACUUUCAGGUAUACAGCAAAGUGAUUCAGUUAUACAUAUACAUGUAUCUAUUUUUUUAUAAAUUCUUUUCCCAUUUAUGCUAUUACAGAAUAUGGAACAGAGUUCCCUAUGCCACACAAGUCCUUGUUGGUUAUCUAUUUUAAGUAGAGUAGUGUGUAUAUGUCAAUCCUAAAUUCCCAGUUUAUCUCUCUCCAUCACCUAUUACCUCUGGAUAUAUGCCAGGGAGUGGGACUGCUGAAUCAUAUGGUAGCCUGAACCUGCCUGCAAUGCAGGAGACCUGGGUUUAAUCCCUGGGUCAGGUAGAUCCCCUGGAGAAGGAAAUGGCAACCCACUUCAGUAUUCUUCCCUGGAGAAUUCCAUGGGGGAAUUCAGUCCCUGGGGUGGCAAAGAGUCAGACACGCCUUAGCAACUAAAUCACUACCACAUACUAGCUCUGUUUUUAGUUUUGAAAAGAAUCUCCAUACCAUUCUCCAUAGUGCGUGUAUCAAUUUACAUUCCCACCAACAGUGUGGGAGGGUUCCCUUUUCUCCACAGUCUCUCCAGCAUUCAUUGUUUGUUCAGUUCAGUUCAGUUUAGUCACUCAGUCGUGUCCAGAUUUUUGUGACCCCAUGGUCUGCAGCACGCCAGGCUUCCCUGUCUAUCACCAAGUCCUGGAGCCUACUCAAACUCACAGACUUUUCAAUAUGGCCAUUCUGACCAGUGUGAGGUUCCUUGAAGGGGGAAGGAGAAUAAAUGUUGUCAGAGAAUGAGCAGUAAAAGCUAAAGCGUCUCAGCCCCAGGAUCCAGGGCACCUACUGGGGAACAAGGACAGACUUUAGGAGACAGAGCAGGGUUGGUUGCAUAGGUCUCUCAUUGUAGUGGCUCCUCUUGCUGCAAAGCGCUGGUUCUAGUUUGCUUGAGCUUCCAAAGCACAUGGGUUUAGUGGUCCCGUGGCAUGUGGGAUCUUCCCUGACCAGGGAUCAAACCUGUGUCCCCUGCAUUGGCAGGCGAAUUCUUAUCACUGGCCCACCAGAAAGCCCCUGCCACAUCUUCUUCAUCCAUUCAUUUGUCAAUUGUCAUUUAAGUUGCUUCUAUGGUUUCUCAGGUAGCUCAGAUGGUAAAGUGAAAGUGAAGUCGCUCAGUCGUGUCCGGCUCUUAGUGACCCCAUGGACUGUAGCCUACCAGGCUCCUCCAUCCAUGGGAUUUUCCUGGCAAGAGUACUGGAGUGGGUUGCCAUUGCCUUCUCUGGUGAAAUGCCUAGUACCUACUAAAUACUGCAUUUAAGUGUUAGCCAAAUAAACAAACUGCAUUAACAUUCAACUUUUCAUCAACAAUUUUGGAUGACAAAAAUUUAAAAAACAAUGCUUUCCAAGUUCUGAGGGAAAGCAAUUUUCAAACUCAACCUCUGCCUAGCUAAUGAUUACUCAUGAUUACGAGGGAAGAAUGGACUGAGAAAACUCACAAACUACAACAGCACUUCUUAAGAACUCAAGUAAGAACUAAAACCAAGAAAGAUGACUAAAAACAGUACCUCCAACUGCAGAAAUUUUUAAAAAUAUCAAGAAGCAGCUUUCCAGCAAGGCUACAUAACCAGGUGCCACAGCAGCAGAAAUACAGACUUCAAGCAGUCUCCAAUCAGAAAGAGAACUUGAUAGAAUAUCUAAUAUAAGAGUCUGGAUGGGGAACCAUGUACAGUGGAAAACAGACAACAGACAAAAAGGCAAACGUAGCAGAAAAGAAACAGAAUCCUAGUACACAACCUAGAUCUACAUAGUGACAAUAGUCACCAAUACUACUUGAUUUUCAGCUUUUAAAACAAAUUUGUAUAGCCAAAGCCCUGACAAUUUAAUCCUGGAUGCCAACAAGGCAAAGAGCACAGCUGACAAGCUUAGCAUGAGCAGUAAGGACAGCAGGGGUAGAAAAGUUAAUACCUAACCUCAGCAUGUGAAGGGUCAAGGAGUACUCUGUAUAGGAGACGAAAAAGGGGGGGGAAAAUUACUUAAUGCUAUAGUUUAUCAGUAGAAGAAUAAAGGCACUGAUUAGGGGGUGGGGUGGGGGGCGGGGGCCUGUACAGUGACUACUCCUAACACAGCUACAAUUCAACAGAUACAUCCAAAAGCAAUACAUCAAACAUAACCAUGACACUCAGAGAUAGAACCAAAAAUAAGUUUAAAGCAGUUAUCCCUGCAGAGCAGAAAGGAGGUAAGAUAUAAAGUUAAUCAAAGUUUUAAACGCAAAGGACAUGAGCAUUGUUUCCACAGUUUCUCUUUGAGAAAAACAGGCGGUACUGGAAAUUUCAUCAGAACCAUCAGUUUCGGUUUCUCCUCGGACAGGAACUAAGCAAGGUCAAGAUCUCACACUGAAUGAAGCCUGGAGACCCAUCUACCUGUCCAAAACAAACAAAACCUAAACAAAUAACCUUUCCCCCUUCCGCCCCCCCAAAAAAAACCCUCACUAGCCUAAGCAAAAGUUUCCAGUGUCGCCUGGGCACUUCGUUCAAAAUCAGGGCAUCGUGUGGCCCUGAACCUCCCCGAUCUGGAAACUGAAAGCACGGGUACCAAAUCGAAACCGGACAGAGAAACCUGGAAACAAUACGAAACGCCAAGAAACCAACAGCAAAGAGGCGUAGCACCGAUCGAGCGCGCCCAGGAACCCUGAAAAUGUCAAAGGCAGGCUUGGCCCAGCAGUCAGGCAACGAGGGAGGGGCCCCUUCGCGGACUGAGUGCCGUCCGAGACCUUCCCGAGGCGCUGCUCUCCCCGCGCGACCCCUGACACGACAGCGACGGACUGCCUCUCCCCGAGCGAAAGCCUCUCAG
ensembl:lincRNA